rnacentral:rRNA from 1 species
UACCAGCACCCCGAGUGGUCGGGACGAUUAUUGGGCCUAAAGCAUCCGUAGCCGGUUUUACAAGUCCCCCGUUAAAUCCAGCUGCUUAACAGAUGGGCUGCGGAGGAUACUAUAAGACUAGGAGGCAGGAGAGGCAAGCGGUACUCAGUGGGUAGGGGUAAAAUCCGUUGAUCCAUUGAGGACCACCAGUGGCGAAGGCGGCUUGCCAGAAUGCGCUCGACGGUGAGGGAUGAAAGCUGGGGGAGCAAACCGG